GUGCCUUCUCAGGGCCUCUGGGAUGCUCAUCUUCUCCUUGGUGCCCUGGAUGAGGACUCCGGCAAUGAAGUUGCCUCCUUCCAGAGACCGCCUCACACUGGCCAUCUCUGUCACCUCCUGCACCGUCUUCUUCCCCUGGGUCAGGUCAUCUAGCGUCUGCUUGUUGAUCAGCUGAGACCUGAACAGGUCCCUGGCUGACACCUGCUUCCGGAGCCCUCUAAAGGUGGCCUGUGGGGACUGCUUCUCUGCAGUCUCCACUAGGGCAGUGACCGCACUGACCACCUGCCGCAGGGCUGUGGCUCGCCCAGACCGGCAGAGUGCUGCCAGCUCCCGCCUCUUGUCAGCACUGAUGUACUCGGAGUGUAGCAGGUCCCAGAGUGACACGAUGCGCCCUUGGAACCUCCCCAUACUGACAGGCACCUUCAUGGCCCUCAGAGCCACUGCAGUGUGCUCAUCCACCUCAAGCACAGCGUCCUGAGUGAGUGGCAGCAGCCACAAGCCGGUAUCAGCAUCCAGCACACAGAGCUCCUUGAGCUGCCCAUAUGUCACCCUGACCCGGGAAUUAGGGUCAAAGAAGAACUUGUUGUCCUCCUUGGUGGUGGUCAGUGCCCAGCUCGUCUGCUCGUCCAGGAGGCCAAGCCUGCAGGCCACUGCCUGAGGCAGGUGCACCCCAUGAACAGGGUCUAAUAUGCCCCCCGUGGCCAGCUGUACCUGCAGGAGGGGGAGGCCCUCACUCUCGGGCUCAAGCCCCUUCUCGAUGGCCUGCCACAGAGAGAGGGUUCCCCCUGAGUAGGGGUCUGUGUACCCGGGCACAGUCCUCUCGACCUGGCUGAGGUGCUCACUCAGCUCGCUGCCUACCAGGCCGGCCUUCACUGCAUCCUCCACUGACAGUCUCUGGUUGGUCAGUGGGUCAACAAGGGAGCCAGAUGCCACCUGGGCCUCCAGCAGUCUCUGUCCCAGGCCUAUGGGCAGGAGGCCAUCCCUCAUGGCCUGGGCGAGGCUCACUUUAGUCCCAGAGGGCUGCAGCAGCACCCCAGCCACGCAGCCCGUGCCCCAGAGGUGGGUCCUCACUGCUGGCUGCUCUGCCACCUCAGAGGGCGACUUUGUGCCCUGAGCCAGUGCGGCCAGCGCCUCCUGGGUGAUGAUGCCAGCGUCCCGCAGCCAGACGGCAGGAACCUCACCCCGGGGACCUGGCACUGUCACGCGGGCCUGGG
rnacentral:lncRNA from 1 species